UACAGAGGCCCCAAGCGUUACUGAGAAUCACUGGGUUUAAAGGGUGCGUAGGUGGCGCGUUAAGUCCGUUGUGAAAUCCCUGGGCUCAACCCAGGAAUUGCUUCGGAUACUGGCGUGCUUGAGGCCGGUAGGGGUCACUGGAACUGACGGUGGAGCGGUGAAAUGCGUAGAGAUCCGGAGGAACACCGACGGCGCAGGCAGCGUCCUGGCCGCUUGCUGACACUGAGGCACGAAAGCUGGGGGAGCAAACAGG
rnacentral:rRNA from 1 species